UUCAGACUGUCGAAUGUAAAU
rnacentral:piRNA from 1 species